UACGUAGGGUGCGAGCGUUAAUCGGAUUACUGGGCGUAAAGCGUGCGUAGGCGGUUCGUUAAGUGCGUCGUGAAAGCCCCGGGCUCAACCUGGGAAUGGCGAUGGAAACUGGCGGGCUGGAGUAUGGCAGAGGGGGGUGGAAUUCCGCGUGUAGCAGUGAAAUGCGUAGAGAUGCGGAGGAACACCGAUGGCGAAGGCAGCCCCCUGGGCCAAUACUGACGCUCAGGCACGAAAGCGUGGGGAGCAAACAGG
rnacentral:rRNA from 1 species